UACGAAGGGGGCUAGCGUUGCUCGGAAUCACUGGGCGUAAAGCGCACGUAGGCGGAUUGUUAAGUCAGGGGUGAAAUCCUGGAGCUCAACUCCAGAACUGCCUUUGAUACUGGCGAUCUCGAGUCCGGGAGAGGUGAGUGGAGCUGCGAGUGUAGAGGUGAAAUUCGUAGAUAUUCGCAAGAACACCAGUGGCGAAGGCGGCUCACUGGCCUGGUACUGACGCUGAGGUGCGAAAGCGUGGGGAGCAAACAGG
rnacentral:rRNA from 1 species